rnacentral:rRNA from 1 species
GGAAUCUUGGACAAUGGGCGCAAGCCUGAUCCAGCCACGCCGCGUGAGCGAUGAAGGCCCUAGGGUUGUAAAGCUCUUUCACCCGUGAAGAUAAUGACGGUAGCGGGAGAAGAAGCCCCGGCUAACUCCGUGCCAGCAGCCGCGGUAAUACGGAGGGGGCUAGCGUUGUUCGGAAUUACUGGGCGUAAAGCGCGCGUAGGCGGGCUGUUAAGUCGGGGGUGAAAUCCCGGGGCUCAACCCCGGAACUGCCUCCGAUACUGGCAGCCUAGAGGACGGGAGAGGCGAGUGGAAUGCCGAGUGUAGAGGUGAAAUUCGUAGAUAUUCGGCGGAACACCCGUGGCGAAGGCGGCUCGCUGGUCCGUUUCUGACGCUGAGGCGCGAAAGCGUGGGGAGCAAAC